rnacentral:rRNA from 1 species
UACUCCUACGGGAGGCAGCAGUAGGGAAUCUUCGGCAAUGGACGGAAGUCUGACCGAGCAACGCCGCGUGAGUGAAGAAGGUUUUCGGAUCGUAAAGCUCUGUUGUAAGAGAAGAACGAGUGUGAGAGUGGAAAGUUCACACUGUGACGGUAUCUUACCAGAAAGGGACGGCUAACUACGUGCCAGCAGCCGCGGUAAUACGUAGGUCCCGAGCGUUGUCCGGAUUUAUUGGGCGUAAAGCGAGCGCAGGCGGUUAGAUAAGUCUGAAGUUAAAGGCUGUGGCUUAACCAUAGUACGCUUUGGAAACUGUUUAACUUGAGUGCAAGAGGGGAGAGUGGAAUUCCAUGUGUAGCGGUGAAAUGCGUAGAUAUAUGGAGGAACACCGGUGGCGAAAGCGGCUCUCUGGCUUGUAACUGACGCUGAGGCUCGAAAGCGUGGGGAGCAAACAGGAUUAGAUACCCUGGUAGUCCACGCCGUAAACGAUGAGUGCUAGGUGUUAGACCCUUUCCGGGGUUUAGUGCCGCAGCUAACGCAUUAAGCACUCCGCCUGGGGAGUACGACCGCAAGGUUGAAACUCAAAUGAAUUGACGGA